rnacentral:rRNA from 1 species
GAUGAACGCUAGCGGCAGGCUUAAUACAUGCAAGUCGAGGGACAGCACAGGUAGCAAUACUGGGUGGUAACCGGCAAACGGGUGCGGAACACGUACACAACCGUCCUUUAAGUGGGAGAUAGCCCAGAGGAAUUUGGCUUAAUAACCCGUAAUAUAGUUGAAUGGCAUGAUUUGAUUAUUAUAGCUACGGCGCUUAAUGAUGGGUGUGCGGCUGAUUAGAUAGUUGGCGGGGUAACGGCCCACCAAGUCUACGAUCAGUAGCUGAUGUGAGAGCACGACCAGUCACACGGGCACUGAGACACGGGCCCGACUCCUACGGGAGGCAGCAGUAAGGAAUAUUGGUCAAUGGACGAAAGUCUGAACCAGCCAUGCCGCGUGGAGGAUGAAGGUCCUCUGGAUUGUAAACUUCUUUUAUAUGGGACGAAAAAAGGGUUUUCUAACUCGUCUGACGGUACCAUAUGAAUAAGCACCGGCUAACUCCGUGCCAGCAGCCGCAGUAACAC